rnacentral:rRNA from 1 species
UACGAAGGGGGCGUAGCGUUGUCUCGGAAGUCACUGGGCGGUAAAGGGUAGCGUAGGCGGGUCGUUUAAGUCAGGGGUGGAAAUCCUGGAGCUCAACUCCAGAACUGCCUUUGAUACUGAAGAUCUUGAGUUCGGGAGAGGUGAGUGGAACUGCGAGUGUAGAGGUGAAAUUCGUAGAUAUUCGCAAGAACACCAGUGGCG